AACACCUGUCCUUCUAUAAAAUCAACACCCGUUCAUCCUAUUUAAUACUCCUUAGCGCGACUAAAAAAACAAUUGAAGUCGUAAAAACCCUAAAUACAGUCCCUAAUUCUGAAUAUGUAAUCAUACAUUCAAAAUUAUAAACUAAAAAAUUCAGCCCCAAAUUAUGAACAAACCCUAGGAACCACGGCGAACUGUCAUUGCUGUUUACGUUGAAGCAGUUACAGCGAUUGCGGCCACAUUUCUGUGCCGGUUGCUUCUCAUUUUCACCAAAGCCGGGCUCGAAUAAUUCCACAGUAGCAACUCCAUCGUUGCCGUACUGCGCUUCACCGGCGGCGGUUAGUUUCUCCACCGACAAAAUCCGCAAAAAAGUAGGAAAAUUGCCUAUCGAAGAGCCUCUUGAGGCGCGAUUUCAGCGCAGGCUUGCCCGUAUUAGUUCGGACCGAUGAUUCUCGGUACGUUUGAGAGUCAAUUUUCAUUGGAGGCAUAGCUGUGACUCUCUAACUUUUCAAUAUUGUCUAGCUAAUAGUUAUACUCUCUGUCACUUCUGUUCAGUUUGUGUGAAUUUUUUAAUUUCUUUUCUUCGUUUUCUUAGAAAUCAAUCUUGCUAACUGUUGCUAAUUUUGGACAGUUUUUAUUUCUUUUCGCUAGAACUCUACUCUGAUUGAUUUCCGGUCCCCCAAAUGGAAGAAAUCUCUAUUUUAAACUUUAAGUGAUAUAUAACCUUUUAAUUUGGGGUCAGAGUUCAUAUUUUUUUUUUUGAGGGCAGAGUAAUUAAAGAAAAACAGUCUCUUGGACAUCCUGUUACCAGUUAGAAAUACACGAAAGAUGCAUUCUUUAGUCUUCAGUCUAUUCUUUUGUGGGGAGUUCUUCCUGCCAGUCAUCUUCAGUGUUUAUAUUGACAGCUUGCUUAGACUGGAAGGGCAAGGCGAAUUGGUUUUGACAUAUUUUGCCCGUACUGUGAAAUCAGGUCGGAUAAUUUUGCCGGGUAGUGUGAAUUCACCAAAAUUCUUACAAUGUUGUAACAUAUCACCUCCCUCCACUAUACAAUGUUCUGUGUGGAGGCGUGUAUUCAUUUCUUGAAUAGUAGAUCUAUGUUGUUUUGAAAUCAGAUGUAUUUUCUAUGUGAAAUGAGUCCGCCAUGGAAUCAAUAAAAAAAGCUGUUGUAUUCGCAUAUCCCUCCCGUAGUUUAGGAAAAGCUUCGCUCUUCUUUCUUUCUUCUAUUUCUUUUUUGAAAUAAUUACCCAGGCAGUAAUAGCAGAUUCUCAUUCUUGAACUAAUGGUAUGGGUUUUCAUACGAGAUGGAAUAGAGGAUUGAAACUUGCACUAUUCAGAGAAAGAUGGCUGUUAAAGAACAACGAGGUGGUAUGAUGGGCCAGUUGUCAAUUAGAUUGGUGAUGCCUGGUUCAGAAUUGUUUGAUCUCCAUGAAAUGUAGUUUUAUAGUUUCCUAGCAUAUGCAGAAUUUGGUAUAACUAUUAGCAAGACCUCCGACACAGCUGUAGAGAAACAGUAUUUCUACUUGACACAGCUGUAGAAAAAUUUUGGAAUUUAGAAAACACAAGAAAAGAAAAAACGAAAAAUAAAGCAAAAGUGGGACCUAUAAACCCGUCUAAAAUUCAAGAUCAUUCUGGGUUUUCCAUAUUCAACUUUCAAUUUGAUUCUGUUUUAUGUAAGUUUCUCUUUGCUUACUUCUGUUGAACAUGGUGUCUAAAUCUUAAGCAUAUUUAAUGCUUCUUUGCCUUCUUCUGGGUAUUAGUUGCUAUGCUUGGAUUUCUGGCUGAAAUGUGGAAUUGAAAAGUAGUUGUUUGUAGAAACUUUCAAGCCAAAAUAUAUUUUUAGAGGAAUUCGUGGCCUUUUCAGAAUUUCUUGGGACUUAUUUGCAUCAGUUCUGGUAGGAUUGAGCAUUCAUUUCCUUGAUGAAAACUCCAAUAGAGUGAUCACAUAUUCUAGCAUAAAUAUUUUCUUUGGUUUGUUGUAAUGUUUGUCUUUGGAUUUCUAUAUCCCGUAAUUAGCAAAUAUGAAUUAGUUUGUCUUGUGGUUUACAAGUUGAUGACUAAACUUACCUUUGCAGAACAAUAAGGUUCAUGCUUCAUCCCCCGAGGGAUCCAGGCCUCGAGUGAAUGACCAUAAAGUCACUAAUGCGGU
rnacentral:lncRNA from 1 species